CCCUUAGAUGUCCUGGGCCGCACGCGCGCUACACUGAGUGUCUGAGAUACGAGUCUGCCUGGUCCGGCAAGGUCUAGGUAAUCGCUAAAAGACAUAUCAUGCUUGGGAUAGAUUAUUGCAAAUAUUAAUCUUGAACGAGGAAUUCCUAGUAAGCGCAAGUCAACAGCUUGCGUUGAUUACGUCCCUGCCCUUUGUACACACCGCCCGUCGCUACUACUGAUUGGAUGUUUAAGCGAGGUUCUCGAACUGCUAGCGACUUAGCUUCGGUGAGGUCGCAGUGUGGGAAGUGAACCUAGCUUUGGUGUCUAGAGGAAGUAAAAGUCGUAACA
rnacentral:rRNA from 1 species